rnacentral:tRNA from 1 species
GAUAAAGUGGCUGAGUUUAAGCAUUAGACUGUAAAUCUAAUUACGAGAGUUAUUCUCCUUUAUCA